rnacentral:antisense_RNA from 1 species
CUUGACCGACCCCAGCAGCAGCGGCCGGUCGCCCGGACGGUCCUGCCCAUACGUCGCCAGCAACGCCUGCGCCUC